CAAGGUUGCCCCUGGCAAUGGCUGUUUCUGCCACCCAGCCAGCCAAGGCCACUGCAGCAGCUACCUCAGCAGCAGCCAAGCAGGCUUCUGUAUCUGCUCCCUGAGAAGAAACUUUACCUCAGUGGAGGCAGGCAGCCGCUUGAACAACAGCACAGAUUGCUACCAGCGCUCCCAAAACAUAGACUGAGCAUAAGGCCCUUGAAGACGAUUCAGAGGGAUUGUUAAGAAAGCCCCUGCUAGUUCAUGCAAUUGGAACCAAAUUGGAGCCAGGCUGUCAGAUGAAGUUUCUCCAGUUGUGGAUGGAGGAUGCACUGUCACUCUGGGAGAGGAGGUCCGGUCUCAUCGGGAGAGUUCUCGGAGGGCGGAUCGACAUGCGAAGUAGAUGAACACCAUGUGUAUGAGGUCUUUGAAUGGAGAGGAACCUGGCCUGCGGGAGGAAGGCUCUGGCGAGGGUCAAGUCCAGGGGAAGAGGUUCAGCACUGCCCCGAGUUCCAUCUUCAGUCAAGGACGGCUGAGAAGGAACUGAGGGGGUUGAAACGCGCAUGCGCCAAACAGACUUCAACGAUGCCGCGAGAUGCCACCUGCGCACGCGCGGCCCAACCGGGCACUGCUACCGAAGAUCUCUGAUCAACGGCGCCGGGACACACCAACACCUGAAGUGGAGCACCCACAGGGACACACAUCUUGAAGAAAAAAGGACAGAUUCUGCUUCCUUUAUUCAAAAGGAACAGUACCUUACUCUAUGAGCAGUCCCACUGUAAUCUGUGGCAUUACUCACAGAGUAUGCUUCUAUUCCACAUGAGCAAAUGUGGCAGAAUCAGGCCUUAAGUCCCAAAACAACUGGUGAUCUAUUUCUUAACAGACCUUGCACUUAAUCAAUAAAAGCUAAUUUACAAGGCAACUUUACUCCAUGCUUAUAACAUUGAUAAUCUGAAUCUUACCCAAGAGACCAAAACAUGAAACAGAACUCAAUGGACACAAUUUAUAAUUGGAGAUUCCAGUUUUCUGCC